UUAAUUGGACAUUAAAUCUACUAAGAAUAACUUAAUUAGUAUUUAGGUAUUAUAACUAAUUGAAAAAUCAAUCCAUAGACCCAUUUCUUUUAAAAUAUUUUAAGCCGUUUUAUUUAGUUUGGGCGGGCCCAUUACAUUUAUGCUUUUGCCUGAGCCAUUAAAAAAAGCUUAAUAUAUAAGUUUUUUGUUUUUCCUUUCUAUUCCAUUUCCUUCCACUUACAGCCGCCCCAUCUUCCCCAUCUUCAUUUUUCUCUUCUUUUCCUAUUUUUUUUCUUAUUUCUUCUUCUAUCUUCUUUCUUUUUUCAUCCUCUCAUCCUCAUAUUCAUGGCAGCCUCUACACCACCACCUCCAUCUCCUGUGUUGUUACCAUCCAUGAGGCCCACAGCCACCAUGCCACCAUCUUUAUAUUCCCCCAUGGCUAUUGUUCCCAUGUUCACUACGACUCAAACGUGCUUCCCGAUGUUUUGCCAUAACCCUGAUGUGAUUCUUGAUGUUCCAUCACCAUCAUAGCCACCAUUGUUGCAGCCCACAACCUUGGUACCUCCUGCACUACCUAUUGAAUUUUGUUGGACUGACAUCAACACCACCAUCUCCAUGGUUGCCACUUCGUUCUUCAUCUUAGGGCUUCAAGAGACGUAGGUAAGUUUCCUUGGAUCUCUACAGUAAUUGUUGAGGUAGUUUUAAUUUAAUUUUUAUAUGGGCCUGGGUCUCCUUUGCUUUAUGAUUAGGCUUCAAAUAUUUGGUGCAUGGGUUUGAUGUUAUAAUAUUUUAUUACUUGGGCCUUGUGUUUCAUUUGGUUGAGCCCAAUAAUAAGAGUAUCAGGCACACAUAAGCAGGUUGGUUCUUUGAGAGCCAUGGAGUUUUGUUGAACCUUAGGAUUGUUGAGGUCAUGCUUCACCAUUGAUUGAGGUCAUGUUUCACCAUUGAUUGGGCUUCAAGCAAGAGAUAAGUAUGGAUGAGGCUUCAUCCUGGAGGAUAUGUAUCUAAGAAAUACGUCAAGAAGAAGACAAUGAUGCAGAAACAAAGAUCACCUCUUAUGAAGAUAAUGUUGUACUUUUCAAUUUAAGUUUGUAUAUUAUUUUAAUUGAAUGUUUUUAGCUAGGUUUUGUUUGUAUAUAGAAAAUAGAGAGGUACUUGAAAAACAUUUAUUGAAUUGUGUUCUUAAUAUUUAAUGUAUAUGUAAUGAUUUUUUUUCUUAAAUAGUAAUUUAUUUAAAUUA